rnacentral:rRNA from 1 species
UAAUACGUAGGGUGCAAGCGUUAAUCGGAAUUACUGGGCGUAAAGCGUGCGCAGGCGGUUUUGUAAGUUUGUCGUGAAAGCCCCGGGCUCAACCUGGGAAUUGCGAUGAAGACUGCAAGGCUUGAAUCUGGCAGAGGGGGGUAGAAUUCCACGUGUAGCAGUGAAAUGCGUAGAGAUGUGGAGGAACACCGAUGGCGAAGGCAGCCCCCUGGGUCAAGAUUGACGCUCAUGCACGAAAGCGUGGGGAGCAAACAGGAUUAGAUACCCUGGUAGUCCACGCCCUAAACGAUGUCUACUAGUUGUCGGGUUUUAAUUAACUUGGUAACGCAGCUAACGCGUGAAGUAGACCGCCUGGGGAGUACGGUCGCAAGAUUA